AACAUUCCAUGGAACUGCAUAAUGACCUCAGCUGUGAGGAAGCUCCUGCCUCCUUAGGGGUGGACCAUGGAAAGGAAAGCUGAGAGGCAGGGGACCCUUCCACCACUGCAAGCAGUGGCAACAGUGGCCAGUGCUAAGAUCUGCGGUUGUCACAGGUCAACUUCCAGUUUUCCACUGCAUUGACAUGAAUGUUUGUACAGAUGUUUCUGCCUACCUUUGCAACUGUCUUCUCAAAAAUACAUCUGCUACCAGCAGCAUCUCUGGAGUGCUCCUUCGAUGCCGGGCACUGCGCUGAGUGCUGUGUGAUCCCAUUAAAUCCUCACACUCACCCGGGAAGCAGGGAUUGUGCAAAUGAGGGGACGAGACUUUGGAGAGGCUGAGAACUGUCUGUAGCCUCCUCAGUGGUAAGUCAUGAGCUGGGCUUUGAACCCAGGUGAGGCUGAGUCCAGAGUCUGACACGCCAAGCAGAGGACAAGCCACCAGGUGGGCCUGACAGACAAGACCUUCCCGAGGGCACAGAUGGCUCCUUCUUGAGAAGACCGAGCCUCUCAGCGAUCAUCUGGAGUAGAUCGGAGUCGAAAGUGCAGUGGUGGCGGGGCCCAGGCAGGUUAUGUGACUGAGGGAGACGGGAUGGGUGUCAGACAACAGGGAGCAGUGUGGAGUGUGGCAGAGUGGGGACUUCCUGCCCCAUCCAAAGUGGCAUCAGCUACUCACUGAGUAUCCUACAUUGGAAAGCUGUCCUGGUUUUUCAACAGGAGCUGGAAAUCAAAUAAUAAAGUCUUCUUAUAUAUAAA